CUGGUGAACAAUGUGAUAAUUUGUGAUUAAAUUUUAAAAAAUGGCAAUAUUGUAAGCAUUUAUAGACUGUUCUCUACAACAGUUAUAUGUCAUGAGGAUAGUAUAACUUUAGUGUAAGGUAUAUUGCUUUGGUGUACAGUAUGUUGUUGAUGGAUCAUUUCUAUGCGGUUAACUUUAUGAGAAUCUAGAGUCCUUUGGGUAAUUUUAUUGAUCAAAUCCCAAAAUGAUAAUAAUGUCAAAUAGGUAUCAUGUCAAUCAUGGUCUAUAAUGCUGUACGUUGUAAAUGAUGUAUCAUUUGAAGAUAUUACCCAGAUAGCUCCAGAUUCUGAAAUUGUACAUUUUGUAUUUGUAACAGCUGUUUCGAUCUACGAUAAUGCACAGUGAGUUAAUAGUUAGUGAUUGCAUGAUUUUACAUUCCAUUUACUGGUAUACAAAUAUGUUUUUUUUAUUUCAGCAGCUACAAUUUUCAACUCAUUAAUUUAUAUGUAUUCAUUUAAACAAUUGCAUUUUUGUCAUUUUUGAGAUGUUACAUAAUUUGACUGUCCCUUUGGUAUCUUUCGUCCCUCUUUUAUCUUACCUCCUAUGCAUUUCAAGGAAUAUGAUUAGUUAAAAACGUCCGCGUGGAGACCGUGUAUAUUUCAUAUUAGGUAGUAGGGAGGCGGGGCUUAUUUCAUACACGGUUAGUAGUGGUGUUACGUCCCUUUAUAAAAACAAAACGGUACCGAGAAAAAUUUCAACAGACGAAGAAAUUCAUGUUUAAGAUUGAAAUGAAUUCAUAAACACAUUUAAACCUAACAAGUUGUUAUUGUUGGCAUCUAUUUUUGUAGGAUCAGUGGAAGUAGUUUCUUAAUGCUAACAGUAUUGAAGACUUGCUCAUUUUGAUAGGUCACUAGUCUAAAUUUCACACAUUAAGAUAGUCGGUAAGAUAAAUUCGUUAUAUAGUGUGCUAGUAACGUAAUGCGGUAUAUAUGGGGUCAGUAAAUUCCAUAUGGGGAUUCGAGCUUCGCUCUCACCCCAUAUGGAACUUACUGACCCCAUUUAUACCGUAUUAGGUCACUAGCACAUUAUGUAACUAAUAGUAUUUUGUUUUAAGAAGUUUGUUAUAUUCGCACAGGUCGUGGUAAAAAACUCUCUUGUGUAUUCAUCUGAUCUUUGACUUUUUGUUAAUUUUCAUUCUUUGGAUGGCUACAUACUGUUAAUUCAAGAUAAGUCAUUUUUCAUCGGAAUCCCAUAUUUUGGAGACACCAAAUACAUAAAUUUGUUAUAAAGUCUGAUUUGUUCGAUUGUUUCUUUCUUAAAUAUUAAUCGUUAUGGACGUUUUGGGUUCUGCUAAUAUGAUUGAUUAAGCAGAUACAUUUAUAAUUAAGUAGUCUUUGAAAUGUUUUAUGAACAAGCUUCUUAGUUUUCUUAAAUUAAGGAAGCAUUUCGCGGAUUUCCCACUGAUGAUUUAAAGACGUUUUGACCUUGCAUUUUUACUUGUCAUAAAAUUUGCAA
rnacentral:lncRNA from 1 species